UACGAAGGGUGCAAGCGUUAAUCGGAAUUACUGGGCGUAAAGGGUGCGUAGGCGGUUAUUUAAGUCUGCCGUGAAAUCCCCGGGCUCAACCUGGGAAUGGCGGUGGAUACUGGAUAGCUAGAGUGUGUCAGAGGAUGGUGGAAUUCCCGGUGUAGCGGUGAAAUGCGUAGAGAUCGGGAGGAACAUCAGUGGCGAAGGCGGCAUCCUGGACCAAUAUUGACGCUGAGGAGCGAAAGCCAGGGGAGCAAACGGG
rnacentral:rRNA from 1 species